CCCAGAACUCCUACGGGAGGCAGCAGUGGGGAAUAUUGCACAAUGGGGGGAACCCUGAUGCAGCAACGCCGCGUGGGUGAAGAAGUACUUCGGUAUGUAAAGCCCUGUCAGCAGGGAAGAAAAUGACGGUACCUGACCAAGAAGCCCCGGCUAACUACGUGCCAGCAGCCGCGGUAAUACGUAGGGGGCAAGCGUUAUCCGGAUUUACUGGGUGUAAAGGGAGCGCAGACGGCAGUGCAAGUCUGGAGUGAAAGCCCGGGGCCCAACCCCGGAACUGCCCUGGAAACUGUGCGGCUAGAGUACUGGAGGGGCAGGCGGAAUUCCUAGUGUAGCGGUGAAAUGCGUAGAUAUUAGGAGGAACACCGGUGGCGAAGGCGGCCUGCUGGACUGUAACUGACGUUGAGGCUCGAAAGCGUGGGGAGCAAACAGGAUUAGAUACCCCGGUAU
rnacentral:rRNA from 1 species